UUUUGGCUAGGGCAGGUUCGGGGACUCGGUCCGAGGCGCUUGUAUUGUCUGCUGAGGGGAGACGCGGGAUCAGCCCCCUCCCCCGCCCGUUGCCGCCGCCGCCUCCGCCGGCCCGGUCUCCCCUCCGCCGCCCGCCGGGAUCCAUGAGCUGAACUCCCGCCCCCCCCCCCCCGGCCGCCGCCAUCUUGUGCCCCCUCCCCCUCCCGCAGGCAGCGCUAAGGGGGAUUUUGGCGUCUUCUCAGACACAGCUCCCUCUCUCGGUCCCCGCUGCUGAGGAGCGAGAGGAGCGCGGCCGCCGCCGCCCGCGCCGGUGAAGCCGCCUCUCCCACACCCUCCGUCUCCUCCCUCCGCCCCUCCUUUGUCUGCACCGCUCGACGACGCCGCCGCCGCCCGCCGCUCUGCUGCGCCCGCCGCGCCCCCCGGCAGCACCCGCGGCCGCGGCGCGAGCCGGAGUCCGCCGAGCCGGAGCGCGACGAGGCCCCGGGCGCGCCCUCCCCGCUGCCGCCACCGCCGUGCCGCCGCCAUCCGCCCGCCGCCGCCGCCGCUGUCCGGCCCCCGAGCACGCCGGCCCCGCGCGCGCCUCGAGGCCGAGUCAAGGUGUGAGAUGCACAAUGCGAAACCUAGGCCCCAGCUUUUACACCAUGAUGCGCAGGGUUGUACUUUUUGUACUGAACUGAUAGGUGGCCUAGUGGUUAUGCCCUGUACUACCAUUUUGAGGAUCUGGACUCCGUUUCCUGCCUUGCUCUUUGGACCACAUUGUCAAUUCACACCGAAACUAUGUUCCAACUUCCUGUCAACAAUCUUGGCAGUUUAAGAAAAGCCCGGAAAACUGUG
rnacentral:lncRNA from 1 species